GCUAUAAGGCUCAGCCGGUAGAACAUGAGACUCUUAAUCUCAGGGUCAUGGCUUUCAGCCCCAUGUUGGGCA